rnacentral:rRNA from 1 species
CCUACGGGCGGCAGCAGUGGGGAAUUUUGGACAAUGGGGGCAACCCUGAUCCAGCCAUGCCGCGUGCGGGAAGAAGGCCUUCGGGUUGUAAACCGCUUUUGUCAGGGAAGAAAUCUUCCGAGCUAAUACCUUGGGAGGAUGACGGUACCUGAAGAAUAAGCACCGGCUAACUACGUGCCAGCAGCCGCGGUAAUACGUAGGGUGCAAGCGUUAAUCGGAGUGGCUGGAGGUAGAGCGUCCACAGGCGGUUGAAAUCCCCGGGCUUAGCCUGGGAACUGCACUUGUGACUGUACGGCUGGAGUACGGCAGAGGGGGAUGGAAUUCCGCGUGUAGCAGUGAAAUGCGUAGAUAUGCGGAGGAACACCGAUGGCGAAGGCAGUCCCCUGGGCCUGUACUGACGCUCAUGCACGAAAGCGUGGGGAGCAAACAGGAUUAGAUACCCCGGUAGUC